rnacentral:rRNA from 1 species
UGAGUAACCUGCCCUUAACUCUGGGAUAAGCCUGGGAAACUGGGUCUAAUACCGGAUAUGACUCCUCAUCGCAUGGUGGGGGGUGGAAAGCUUUUUGUGGUUUUGGAUGGACUCGCGGCCUAUCAGCUUGUUGGUGAGGUAAUGGCUUACCAAGGCGACGACGGGUAGCCGGCCUGAGAGGGUGACCGGCCACACUGGGACUGAGACACGGCCCAGACUCCUGCGGGAGGCAG